UCUCUCAAAUUCGUCCAUCUAUAGACAUCAUUAAGAGAGAAUUUACGAAAAUUAUUCUGGGCAAAGGAAACAUUAUGAUUGGAGCCUAUGAUAUGCAUCAUGUCUUCCUUGACUUCGACAACAUCGAAGACCACCUCAAUGUGCUAUCUAGAAAUUUAUCCAUUUAGGUCGCCUAAAUAUUAUGAAAAUUAUGAAAUGGUCGAUGACCUUCAAACCUAACUCUGACAACUCUCUUACCUCAGUGUAGGUAAAUCUAUCCGAAUCGAAAUGACACCUCUAUGAGUGGGAUGCCAUUUGUAGAAUCCUUGAACCGAUUGGGACUUCUUUAUUGCUGGAUAAAGCCACCCUAGUCAAAACAAGACCCACCACCGCGAAAGUGAGGGUGGAAAUGGGUCUGACCUAACUCUCAAUCAACAAAGUGAUCUUGGAAAUUACUAACAGUGAUAGACUAACUGAGAUGAUCAACUAAAGAGUAAAGUAUGAAACUAUCCCAGCUUUUUUCUCGCAUUGUAAAAUACAAGGUCAUAGUGAUGAAAAGUGCAGAAAUCUCCCUCCUAAAUUAAACACGAACAAGGCGAAGAAUAUGUUCAGAGAGCAGAAGACAUUACAAGCUACCACCAAUAAGGAAGCUACAACUACCAGUGAUUUGAUGGAGAGCACAAACCAAAUCUCAGAGAUAAGUUCAGAAGCCAACAAUGGGGAAGAAGAAUGACAGACAUUUACCAACAAGAAAGGAAAAGGCUCUAACAAGAACAACUCAAAUGGAAAGAUAACUCAACCAAAUCAGUAAGAGGAACAAGUAGUAGCUCAAAGAUGCAGGUUACUACCCACAUGGAGACAUCACUAGAGGAAAUGAGAUGUUCCAGGAGAAGCACUUUGAGAACCCAUACUAAGAGAGGGGGAAAAAGUUGAAAGAAAAGAAAGAAAUCCCAACACCUCCAAAUAAUCAAAAACGACAUGAUGAAGGUGAAACACAACAAGGAAAUCUUAUACUCUAAGGUAAUCAGAACGCCAGUAAACUUGUUGAGGUGCUUCACUCUAAUAAAACCAAGGUUCUCAGCAAGAAAAAGAUACAUCUGUUCGGGUUCAUUCAUGUCCAAUAAACUUCAAACAAAAGGAGAUUCGAGUAUUUUUCACCACGGUGAAACUCCCUCCAGAUUUAGUCUUUGAUAACAAAGAAACGGUCUUAGUGGAGGUCCACCAACAUAGAUCAUGAACCUCUCCCCUUGUUGGGUUGAAUCAGAAUCUAUUAGAGAAUAUAAGAGGGAGGAAGGCUAAAGAAAAAGAAUAGUGGAGCUUUCCUGAUGACCUAAAAUUUGGAAAUAAGGCUAUCCAAGUUGAAACCAUUAAUGCAAACUUCAAUGAGCUCCAUGAAGACUCUGCUUUCAAAGAUUGUGAAGAAGAUUUGUACAUGAUCAAUGUAGAGGAAAACUACUCAACAAUCCUCUCUACUGAUGAAGUUAUCAGGAGAGACAGACUUUCUCAUCUAACAUGUGCAGUUGUUGAUCAAUCUAACCAGGUUCAUCCCAAGGUGGAAUACUAUAACAACCUCUCCCCUAGAGGAAGAAGUAAUUUUCGAAAUAAAAGCCCCUUCCCCCCCACCAUUUUCCAUGAUUAAUACUCUAUCAUGGAAUAUCAGGGAAGUAGGAUCCCAAGGUUCUCUUAAGAGACUUAAAAAUCUCAAACAUCAACAUAAUUUUCCCUACAUGUUCAUACAAGAACCGAAGGUGAACUCGAGGAAAAUUGAUAAAUUCAAAAGGAUAUUAAGGGUUAUGAAGGAUAAGAGAAAGCAGCUUUCAAUUCACAAGAUCAACUAUCAAGAGGACAAUUGGGUAGAAGGAACUCCUUAGAUUGUUGAUGUUGCAGUCACGUUUUACACCAAUCUUUUCAAAGAUGAUCUUACUGAGGAGGAUAGUAAUAUUUUUAAUCUUGUGGAAGAGGUUGCCAUCAAUGAAGAUAGCAUCAACUUUAUCAA